ACUACAUUUUUAACCAGAUGCAACAGCCAAUAAAGGGCUAAUGCAACGUCAUUUUUGUUACCGUCGCAAUAAAUUAGGCUAAUGCAACGGAUAUUAGUUUACACUUCAUAAGAUAGAGCUAAUACAACGGCUUUUUAGAUCCGUUGCAUUAGUUGAGCAGAAGAAGCUAAUACAACGGCUAAAUAAGCUAAUGCAACGGCAAAGAAAUUCAAUAAUACGGAGAGGCGCUGAAAAUUUCACUUAUUCCCUCUAAUUUUUUCCCCAAAUUUUGAACCUUCUACUACAUCACCGCCACACUUACAAGAUAAACCAAAAAGAAAACAAACUCUCUUAUCCUCUCUCUCUCUCCUCCUUUCCCCAAUUCCUCAUUUUUUCUCAAUCUCAUGCUCCUACAAUGGCAGUCGCUGCUACUCAUUUCUUCGUCUACGCUUUAACCCUUCUAAAAUUGGCUCAUUAGUUUAUUAUUCAUAAGAAAUUUGGGUUGAGUUCUUUUUAUAAGUUUUCUCUUUUCUUUGUUUCCUUCUCUUCCACUCAAAUUCUUCUAAUUUCUACUAUUGCCCAAAUCUCAAGGAAAAUAUCGUUAUUUCUUCUCAUUUUAUGGGCUAUUAGCCCCAAUUUCAACUAGUAAAAUUGAGGAAGUGAAUGGAGGAGGAGACACACUUUGUGUGUGAGGUGUGGCUUUCACCAUUCCCUCUUCAGCAAAGUCGUUGCUUUGGUUGUAGAUCUCCCGUCAUUCGCAAGAAAAAGUGCCCCUCUGUAGGCUACGAUGCUUCUUCUGAUUUCGGCUAGUUCUUUGUCACAUUUCUUUCUAACCACUUAUUUGAGGUGCAUGGGGAGCUAAAUGGAGCUGAAGUAUAGUAACUAGCUAGUCAUCUAACAAAUGGCGCAUAUAUGUUGGCGACUCUUAUUCAAGUUCAAGUUUGUGAAGAUUUGGAAAUUCCGGCUUAAAUAUAUGUUGUAAAUUUGUAUUUUGGAGGAUUAAAUUAAUUAUAUAACUUUUAUUUAUUAUUAGUAGGGUGUCAUACAAAAAACAAGAAACUAAUAUUUUAUAAUAUACGUAUUUAGCAUUAUAAUUA